GACAUUCAAAAAUCAAUAAUGUAAUUCACCACAUCCACAAAUUAAAGAAUACAAAUCAUAUAAUCAUAUUAACAGAUGCAGAAAAAGCAUUUGAUAAAAUGCACCUUAAUGUUCAUUCUUUGCACUACAAUGUUCAACGGGUUUUUUUUAAGAGAUUUUCUUUAUUUGCCAGAGAGAGAGAGCAAGAGCAGGGGGAGCGGCAGGCAGAGGGAGAAGCAGGCCGACACGGGACUUGAUUCCAGGACCCCGGGAUCGUGACCUGAGCCGAAGGCAGAUGUUUAACCAACUGAGCCACCCAGUCCCGCGUUAUGAGAGACAGUAUCCUGGAUGAGGGCAAAAACCCCACUGGUCAGAGGACAGCCCACCAGGCUCAUCACUUGUGUGCCAAGGUAGGCACCAGAACUCUCACCAAUAAAGAUGAAAUAAAAAACA